rnacentral:rRNA from 1 species
GAUGAACGCUGGCGGCGUGCCUAAUACAUGCAAGUCGAGCGGACGGACGAGAAGCUUGCUUUUCUGAUGUUAGCGGCGGACGGGUGAGUAACACGUGGAUAACCUACCUAUAAGACUGGGAUAACUUCGGGAAACCGGAGCUAAUACCGGAUAAUAUUUUGAACCGCAUGGUUCAAAAGUGAAAGACGGUCUUGCUGUCACUUAUAGAUGGAUCCGCGCUGCAUUAGCUAGUUGGUAAGGUAACGGCUUACCAAGGCAACGAUGCAUAGCCGACCUGACAGGGUGAUCGGCCACACUGGAACUGAGACACGGUCCAGACUCCUACGGGAGGCAGCAGUAGGGAAUCUUCCGCAAUGGGCGAAAGCCUGACGGAGCAACGCCGCGUGAGUGAUGAAGGUCUUCGGAUCGUAAAACUCUGUUAUUAGGGAAGAACAUAUGUGUAAGUAACUGUGCACAUAUUGACGGUACCUAAUCAGAAAGCCACGGCUAACUACGUG